ACUUAAAUUGAAGAGUUUGAUCAUGGCUCAGAUUGAACGCUGGCGGCAGGCCUAACACAUGCAAGUCGAGCGGUAGCACAGAGAGCUUGCUCUCGGGUGACGAGCGGCGGACGGGUGAGUAAUGUCUGGGAAACUGCCUGAUGGAGGGGGAUAACUACUGGAAACGGUAGCUAAUACCGCAUAACGUCGCAAGACCAAAGUGGGGGACCUUCGGGCCUCAUGCCAUCAGAUGUGCCCAGAUGGGAUUAGCUAGUAGGUGGGGUAACGGCUCACCUAGGCGACGAUCCCUAGCUGGUCUGAGAGGAUGACCAGCCACACUGGAACUGAGACACGGUCCAGACUCCUACGGGAGGCAGCAGUGGGGAAUAUUGCACAAUGGGCGCAAGCCUGAUGCAGCCAUGCCGCGUGUGUGAAGAAGGCCUUCGGGUUGUAAAGCACUUUCAGCGGGGAGGAAGGCGUUAAGGUUAAUAACCUUGGCGAUUGACGUUACCCGCAGAAGAAGCACCGGCUAACUCCGUGCCAGCAGCCGCGGUAAUACGGAGGGUGCAAGCGUUAAUCGGAAUUACUGGGCGUAAAGCGCACGCAGGCGGUCUGUCAAGUCGGAUGUGAAAUCCCCGGGCUCAACCUGGGAACUGCAUUCGAAACUGGCAGGCUAGAGUCUUGUAGAGGGGGGUAGAAUUCCAGGUGUAGCGGUGAAAUGCGUAGAGAUCUGGAGGAAUACCGGUGGCGAAGGCGGCCCCCUGGACAAAGACUGACGCUCAGGUGCGAAAGCGUGGGGAGCAAACAGGAUUAGAUACCCUGGUAGUCCACGCCGUAAACGAUGUCGAUUUGGAGGUUGUGCCCUUGAGGCGUGGCUUCCGGAGCUAACGCGUUAAAUCGACCGCCUGGGGAGUACGGCCGCAAGGUUAAAACUCAAAUGAAUUGACGGGGGCCCGCACAAGCGGUGGAGCAUGUGGUUUAAUUCGAUGCAACGCGAAGAACCUUACCUGGUCUUGACAUCCACAGAACUUUCCAGAGAUGGAUUGGUGCCUUCGGGAACUGUGAGACAGGUGCUGCAUGGCUGUCGUCAGCUCGUGUUGUGAAAUGUUGGGUUAAGUCCCGCAACGAGCGCAACCCUUAUCCUUUGUUGCCAGCGGUCCGGCCGGGAACUCAAAGGAGACUGCCAGUGAUAAACUGGAGGAAGGUGGGGAUGACGUCAAGUCAUCAUGGCCCUUACGACCAGGGCUACACACGUGCUACAAUGGCAUAUACAAAGAGAAGCGACCUCGCGAGAGCAAGCGGACCUCAUAAAGUAUGUCGUAGUCCGGAUUGGAGUCUGCAACUCGACUCCAUGAAGUCGGAAUCGCUAGUAAUCGUAGAUCAGAAUGCUACGGUGAAUACGUUCCCGGGCCUUGUACACACCGCCCGUCACACCAUGGGAGUGGGUUGCAAAAGAAGUAGGUAGCUUAACCUUCGGGAGGGCGCUUACCACUUUGUGAUUCAUGACUGGGGUGAAGUCGUAACAAGGUAACCGUAGGGGAACCUGCGGUUGGAUCACCUCCUUACCUUAAAGAA
rnacentral:rRNA from 7 species